ACAUGCUGUACUCUUGGCAAUUGCCAUUUGCAUUAAAACAGGAUGAUUUGUGGAACUGAAGGCUUGAGACCCUUGCAGACUAUCCCACCCACCUCGGGCUGUCCCAGGAAAUGCCAGAGGCUGGGGCUGUAGCUUCCUUGGGGGAGAAGGGCUGGCCUUGCCCCGGGCAAAACAGGUCCCCAAAGUCACAGCCCCAUUCCUUUCCAGGUGCACACUGGCCAUGGAACCACAGAAGGUGCCUCAGCCUCCCAGAGAGAGCCACAUUCAUUGGGUUCAAGUCCCUAGUCAGGGCAAGAGUGCAGGUGAAGCCAGACCUGGGAUGGGGAUCAGUGCUGUGUGUGGACCUGGGCCCGGGACUGUAGGACUCCAUCCUCCAUCGCAGGGAAAUGCUGCAGCAGGGAGCCUCCAACGGUCGGCUGUCAGAGCUACCUUGCCCAACAUCACAGGUAUAACAGUAACUCAUGCUCUGUAAUAAAUUGCCCCAAAACAUGGGAGCUUAAAACAACAAUUAUUAUCUUGAAGUUUCUGUGAAUUAGGAAUUUGAAAGCCACUUAGGGGGGUGGUUCUGGCUUAGGGUUUCUGAUGAGGUUGCAGUCGAACUGUCGACCAGGACUUCAGUCAUUGGACCCAGUCCCCUGACUGGGGCCGGGGGACUGGCUUUUAAAGGUGUCUCACUAGAAUGGCUGGGGGUGGGAG